AUUGAACGCUGGCGGCAGGCCUAACACAUGCAAGUCGAGCGGAUGAAGGGAGCUUGCUCCUGGAUUCAGCGGCGGACGGGUGAGUAAUGCCUAGGAAUCUGCCUGGUAGUGGGGGAUAACGUCCGGAAACGGGCGCUAAUACCGCAUACGUCCUGAGGGAGAAAGUGGGGGAUCUUCGGACCUCACGCUAUCAGAUGAGCCUAGGUCGGAUUAGCUAGUUGGUGGGGUAAAGGCCUACCAAGGCGACGAUCCGUAACUGGUCUGAGAGGAUGAUCAGUCACUGGGAAAGAGAGACGCGGUCCAGUCCUAUGCGAGGGACAGGAGUGGAAAAUAGUGGAAUGGGCGCAAACGUGUGAUAGCGACGUGGCGCGUGUGAAGAAGGUCUUCGGAUUGUAAAGCACUUUAAGUUGGGAGGAAGGGCAGUAAGUUAAUACCUUGCUGUUUUGACGUUACCAACAGAAUAAGCACCGGCUAACUUCGUG
rnacentral:rRNA from 1 species